AGAUGCUAAUACCGCAUAACAACUUGGACCGCAUGGUCCGAGUUUGAAAGAUGGCUUCGGCUAUCACUUUUGGAUGGUCCCGCGGCGUAUUAGCUAGAUGGUGAGGUAACGGCUCACCAUGGCAAUGAUACGUAGCCGACCUGAGAGGGUAAUCGGCCACAUUGGGACUGAGACACGGCCCAAACUCCUACGGGAGGCAGCAGUAGGGAAUCUUCCACAAUGGACGAAAGUCUGAUGGAGCAACGCCGCGUGAGUGAAGAAGGGUUUCGGCUCGUAAAACUCUGUUGUUAAAGAAGAACAUAUCUGAGAGUAACUGUUCAGGUAUUGACGGUAUUUAACCAGAAAGCCACGGCUAACUACGUGCCAGCAGCCGCGGUAAUACGUAGGUGGCAAGCGUUGUCCGGAUUUAUUGGGCGUAAAGCGAGCGCAGGCGGUUUUUUAAGUCUGAUGUGAAAGCCUUCGGCUCAACCGAAGAAGUGCAUCGGAAACUGGGAAACUUGAGUGCAGAAGAGGACAGUGGAACUCCAUGUGUAGCGGUGAAAUGCGUAGAUAUAUGGAAGAACACCAGUGGCGAAGGCGGCUGUCUGGUCUGUAACUGACGCUGAGGCUCGAAAGUAUGGGUAGCAAACAGGAUUAGAUACCCUGGUAGUCCAUACCGUAAACGAUGAAUGCUAAGUGUUGGAGGGUUUCCGCCCUUCAGUGCUGCAGCUAACGCAUUAAGCAUUCCGCCUGGGGAGUACGGCCGCAAGGCUGAAACUCAAAGGAAUUGACGGGGGCCCGCACAAGCGGUGGAGCAUGGUGGUUUAAUUCGAAGCUACGCGAAGAACCUUACCAGUCUUGGACAUACUAUGCAAAUCUAGAGAUUAGACGUUCCUUCGGGGACAUGAUACAGGUGGUGCAUGGCGUCGUCAGCUCGUGU
rnacentral:rRNA from 1 species